rnacentral:lncRNA from 1 species
GCUUUUUCUUUCCCAUUGGAGUUUCAAACCUACAUGAAAAUAUUAGUUAAUGAUAAACCAGACGAGUGUAUACCAAAGCCAGCUCUCCUCUGCACCUCUAUAGCAUAUGGACAAAAUAAAAAUAAAUGGUCCAUAGUUUCACGAGAGGGGCAGAAUAAACAUCUCUCAUCCACAUCAACACCUUUACUUCUCAAGUUGAUCUUAGUAGGCACCACAUUCUUUAAAGCUCUCCACAUUAAAUCUUUAAUCUUUGGCGGUGUAUCAAACUUCUAAACUCUACGCCACACAUCACUAGAAAUGCCCAAAUUACUAAAACUUCCAUCUUCACGACUCACAUGAUAAUAAGAUUUUACCGUAUAAAUUCCUCUUCUGUCAAAAUGUCACAACAAAGAAUCAUUGACAUCAUUAUCACCAAGAGAACAAAGAAUCAUUGACAUCAUUAUCACUAAGAGGAUUAGAGAGAAUAGCUCUAACAUCUGCAGCUGAAAAAAAUUCUAUUAACUUGCUCGCAUUUUACUUCCUUCUAUCCAAAUCUAUGAAGUCACACACCCUCCAAAGAUGAUCUAAGAACAAAUGGCCAUCCUUCGCCAUAAAACCAUUAUUAUUUGGAAUCUAAGGUUCCGAAUCAACAUAGAUGCUUCUUCCAUUACCAACCCUCCACCUAAUACCUUUCUUCAACAAAUCGAUGGAAGCAAAGAUACUAGACCAAAUAAAGCUUGGAUUAAUACCUAAUCAAGCUUUUAACAAGUCUCCUAUGAAAAAAUAUUUAGUUUUAAAACUCUAUAAAACAAAGUAUCUUUUUGAAUGAGAAGAUGCUACCUUACUUCCCCAAUAAUGCUAAGUUAAAGUGCUGAAGGUCCCUAAAACCCAUACCUCUCUCCUUCUUUUAAACACUCAUCCUUCCCAAAACAUUCAAUUGAUGUUUUUAUUUAACUCUUUUUUGUCAUUCCACCAAAACCUAUUAAUGAUAACCUCUAACUCAUUAUAUAAGGAUAGGAGCAAUAAGAAAACUAACAUAUAGUAAGAGGGUACAACUUAAGCCACCGACUUCAAAACAACCUCCCUACCCGCCUUUGACGAAAAUCUGUUAUUCCAACAAUUAAUACGUUUCCUCAACUUAUCCUUAAUGUAAUGGAAAACCUGCUUCUUAUCUCGGCAUAUAAGAGAGGAAAGGCCUAAUAAGAACCAUUUUCCAUAGAAUUAGUCACACCAAAAGAAUUAGAGAUAACAACUCUAAUAUUAUUACUCGCAUAUGGGCUGAAAAAAAUAUCUGACUUUCG